rnacentral:tRNA from 1 species
GUAGGGGAACCUGCGGCUGGAUCACCUCCUUAAUCGAAGAUCUCAGCUUCUUCAUAAGCUCCCACACGAAUUGCUUGAUUCACUGGUUAGACGAUUGGGUCUGUAGCUCAGUUGGUUAGAGCGCACCCCUGAUAAGGGUGAGGUCGGCAGUUCGAAUCUGCCCAGACCCACCAAUUGUUGGUGUGCUGCGUGAUCCGAUACGGGGCCAUAGCUCAGCUGGGAGAGCGCCUGCUUUGCACGCAGGAGGUCAGGAGUUCGAUCCUCCUUGGCUCCACCAUCUAAAACAAUCGUCGAAAGCUCAGAAAUGAAUGUUCGUGGAUGAACAUUGAUUUCUGGUCUUUGCACCAGAACUGUUCUUUAAAAAUUCGGG